GCGAACGCUGGCGGCAGGCCUAACACAUGCAAGUCGAACGGAUCCUUCGGGAUUAGUGGCGGACGGGUGAGUAACACGUGGGAACGUGCCCUUUGGUUCGGAACAACUCAGGGAAACUUGAGCUAAUACCGGAUGUGCCCUUCGGGGGAAAGAUUUAUCGCCAUUGGAGCGGCCCGCGUCUGAUUAGCUAGUUGGUGAGGUAACGGCCCACCAAGGCGACGAUCAGUAGCUGGUCUGAGAGGAUGAUCAGCCACACUGGGACUGAGACACGGCCCAGACUCCUACGGGAGGCAGCAGUGGGGAAUCUUGCGCAAUGGGCGAAAGCCUGACGCAGCCAUGCCGCGUGAAUGAUGAAGGUCUUAGGAUUGUAAAAUUCUUUCAGCGGGGACGAUAAUGACGGCACCCGCAGAAGAAGCUCCGGCUAACUUCGUG
rnacentral:rRNA from 1 species